rnacentral:sRNA from 1 species
GCUGGGCGUGGUGGUGUACGCCUGUAAAACCAGCCACUCAGGAGGCUGAGGCAGGAGGAUCACAAGUUCAAAGCCAGCCUCAGCAAAAGUGAAGUGCUAAGCAAGUCAGUGAGACCCUGUCUCUA